UACGGGGGGGGCAAGCGUUGUUCGGAAUUACUGGGCGUAAAGGGUUCGUAGGUGGCCAACUAAGUCAGACGUGAAAUCCCUCAGCUCAACUGGGGAACUGCGUCUGAUACUGGUUGGCUUGAAUUCGGGAGAGGGAUGCAGAAUUCCAGGUGUAGCGGUGAAAUGCGUAGAUAUCUGGAGGAAUACCGGUGGCGAAGGCGGCAUCCUGGACCGACAUUGACGCUGAUGAGCGAAAGCUAGGGGAGCAAACGGG
rnacentral:rRNA from 1 species